rnacentral:rRNA from 1 species
GACGGAGGAUGCAAGUGUUAUCCGGAAUCACUGGGCGUAAAGCGUCUGUAGGUGGUCAAAUAAGUCAACUGUUAAAUCUUGAGGCUCAACCUCAAAAUCGCAGUCGAAACUAUUAGACUAGAGUAUAGUAGGGGUAAAGGGAAUUUCCAGUGGAGCGGUGAAAUGCGUAGAGUAUGGAAAGAACACCAACGGCGAAAGCACUCUGCUGGGCCGACACUGACACUGAGAGACGAAAGCUAGGGGAGCGAAUGGG